GACGAGGGAUCCUAGCGUUGCUCGGAAUUAUUGGGCGUAAAGCGGGUGUAGGUGGCUUGGUAAGUCGGCUGUGAAAGUCCAGGGCUCAACCCUGGGAUGCCGGUCGAUACUGCCGGACUAGAGUUCGGAAGAGGCGAGUGGAAUUCCUGGUGUAGCGGUGAAAUGCGCAGAUAUCAGGAGGAACACCGGUGGCGAAGGCGGCAUCCUGGACCGACACUGACACUGAGGAGCGAAAGCCAGGGGAGCAAACGGG
rnacentral:rRNA from 1 species